rnacentral:rRNA from 1 species
AAACCAGCUCUUCGAGUGGUGUCCAUGAUUAUUGAGCUUAAAGCGUUCGUAGCCUGUUUGGUAGGUUCCUGCUCAAAUCCGGUCGCUUAACGGUCGGACUGGUAGGAAUACCGCCUUACUUGGGGACGGGAGACGGCAACGGUAUUCCAUAGGUAAGGGUGAAAUCUAAUGAUCUAUGGAGGACCACCAGUGGCGAAGGCGAUUGUCGAGAACGUGCCCGACGGUGAGGGACGAAACCCAGGGGAGCAAAUCGGAUUAGAUACCCGAGUAGUCCUGGGCGUAAACGAUGCCCGUUAAGUGUUGCAUUGGCCACGAGCCACUGCGGUGCUGUAGCGAAAGCGAUAAACGGGCCGCUUGGGAAGUACGGUCGCAAGACUGAA